rnacentral:rRNA from 1 species
UGGGGAAUAUUGGACAAUGGGCGCAAGCCUGAUCCAGCAAUGCCGCGUGUGUGAAGAAGGCCUUCGGGUUGUAAAGCACUUUUAUCAGGAGCGAAACGCUGUCGGCUAAUACCCGGCGGAACUGACGGUACCUGAGGAAUAAGCACCGGCUAACUUCGUGCCAGCAGCCGCGGUAAUACGAAGGGUGCAAGCGUUAAUCGGAAUUACUGGGCGUAAAGCGUGCGUAGGCGGUUUCUUAAGUCUGCUGUGAAAUCCCCGGGCUCAACCUGGGAAUGGCAGUGGAUACUGGGAGGCUAGAGUGUGUCAGAGGGUGGUGGAAUUCCCGGUGUAGCGGUGAAAUGCGUAGAGAUCGGGAGGAACAUCAGUGGCGAAGGCGGCCACCUGGGACAACACUGACGCUGAGGCACGAAAAGCGUGGGGAGCAAACAGGAUUAGAUACCCUGGUAGUCCACGCCCUAAAGCGAUGCGAACUGGAUGUUGGUCUCAACUCGGAGAUCAGUGUCGAAGCUAACGCGUUAAGUUCGCCGCCUGGGGAGUACGGUCGCAAGACUGAAACUUAAAUGAA